rnacentral:rRNA from 1 species
UGGCUCAGAACGAAUGCUGGCGGCAGGCCUAACACAUGCAAGUCGAGCGCCCUGCAAGGGGAGCGGCGGACGGGUGAGUAACGCGUGGGAAUUUUCCUCAAGGUACGGAACAACUCAGGGAAACUUGGGCUAAUACCGUAUGAUGUCUAGCGACCAAAGAUUUAUCGCCUUGGGAUAAGCCCGCGUCAGAUUACGUAGUUGGUGGGGUAACGUCCUACCAAGCGUGGGGGGAAUAGAUGGUAUGAGAGGACGAUCAGCCACACUGGGACU